rnacentral:rRNA from 1 species
CACGUAGGGGACGAGCGUUGUCCGGAAUCAUUGGGCGUAAAGCGCGUGUAGGCGGUCCGGUAAGUCCGCUGUGAAAGUCGGGGGCUCAACCCUCGGAUGCCGGUGGAUACUGUCGGGCUUGAGUACGGAAGAGGCGAGUGGAAUUCCUGGUGUAGCGGUGAAAUGCGCAGAUAUCGGGAGGAACACCAAUUGCGAAGGCAGUUCGCUGGGACGUUACUGACGCUGAGACGCGAAAGCGUGGGGAGCAAACAGG